rnacentral:rRNA from 1 species
UACAGAGGGGGCAAGCGUUAUUCGGAAUUAUUGGGCGUAAAGGGCGCGUAGGCGGCUUGGCAAGUGGAUGGUGAAAUCCCUCGGCUUAACCGAGGAACUGCCGUCCAAACUGCUUAGCUUGAGACCAGGAGAGGUGAGUGGAAUUCCCAGUGUAGCGGUGAAAUGCGUAGAUAUUGGGAGGAACACCAGUGGCGAAGGCGGCUCACUGGACUGGUACUGACGCUGAUGCGCGAAAGCGUGGGGAGCAAACGGG